UCUUUCAUUCUAUCUAAUUAAAUCCUCUAAAAUUAUUAAAUUUUUAAAAAUAAAAUAGUUAUGAUGAUAACUAGAUCAUAGCCUCUAAUUAAGUUGGAUGAUAAUGGGUCCAACAGUUUAGAUGAUCAUUGGAAGCACCACAUGUCUGGUGUUCAUCUGGCUAUCAGAAUUAUCAUUUAUAAUAUGUUGAUUUAGUUGUGUCUUUCUAAUGAUGGUC
rnacentral:lncRNA from 1 species